rnacentral:tRNA from 1 species
GUCCCUAUAGCUCAGAUGGAUAGAGCAUCUGCCUUCUAAGCAGAAAGUCGGCUGUUCGAAUCAGCCUAGGGACGCCA